rfam:Mycoplasma sp. CAG:956 genomic scaffold, scf9
GGGGCAGCAUUGGUUUCGACAGAUAUUUGUAAAUGUUAGAUGGCAAGUAGUCACGAAAACGACUUAAAAUUUUCAAUUAAAUUUAAAUGACGAAACAGAAGGAAACUUUGGUUUCAACUUUGCUCCUUCAUUUGCUUAAGUAAGCAUUGGAGCUGCUUAUUCUAAAUUUAUCUGUGAUUUAGUUUAAGUAUCAUAUUAGCAGAUUAUAUUAUUUUACUUGAUUAGAAUAAAAUAAUGAACACUAUCUAAUCUAGUUAUAAAUAAGGUAAGUUAAAGCCAUUUUUAUAAUGAAAUUCAAGUUUUAACUAAACUUGUAGAAGUCUAAGGUUUAGAUAUUUGGACAGGAGUUCAACUCUCCUCUGCUCCACCA